CCUACGGGCGGCUGCAGUGGGGAAUAUUGGACAAUGGGGGGAACCCUGAUCCAGCCAUGCCGCGUGUGUGAAGAAGGCCCUCGGGUUGUAAAGCACUUUCAGUGAGGAAGAACGCCUGGUGGUUAAUACCCAUCAGGAAAGACAUCACUCACAGAAGAAGCACCGGCUAACUCCGUGCCAGCAGCCGCGGUAAUACGGAGGGUGCGAGCGUUAAUCGGAAUUACUGGGCGUAAAGCGCGCGUAGGUGGCUUGAUAAGCCGGUUGUGAAAGCCCCGGGCUCAACCUGGGAACGGCAUCCGGAACUGUCAAGCUAGAGUGCAGGAGAGGAAGGUAGAAUUCCCGGUGUAGCGGUGAAAUGCGUAGAGAUCGGGAGGAAUACCAGUGGCGAAGGCGGCCUUCUGGACUGACACUGACACUGAGGUGCGAAAGCGUGGGUAGCAAACAGGAUUAGAUCCCUUGUAGUC
rnacentral:rRNA from 1 species